UCCGGCAGGGAUAAACGCUGAAGGCAUCUAAGCGUGAAGCCCCCCUCAAGAUGAGAUAUCCCAAUAAGUAAGACCCCUUAGAGAGUAUGAGGUAGAUAGGCUGGAGGUGGAAGUGCAGUAAUGUAUGGAGCUGACCAGUACUAAUCGGUCGAGGGCUUAUCCUGA
rnacentral:rRNA from 1 species